rnacentral:rRNA from 1 species
UAGGGAAUAUUGCACAAUGGGCGAAAGCCUGAUGCAGCAACGCCGCGUGUGCGAUGAAGGCCUUCGGGUCGUAAAGCACUUUUCUGGGAGAUGAGCAAGGACAGUAUCUCAGGAAUAAGUCUCGGCUAACUACGUGCCAGCAGCCGCGGUAAAACGUAGGAGGCAAGCGUUAUCCGGAUUCACUGGGCGUAAAGCGCGUGCAGGCGGUUCGGUAAGUUGGGCGUGAAAUCUCCUGGCUUAACUAGGAGAG